rnacentral:rRNA from 1 species
UACGUAGGUGGCGAGCGUUGUCCGGAUUUAUUGGGUUUAAAGGGUGCGUAGGCGGCCUAUUAAGUCAGUGCUGAAAUACCCCGGCUCAACCGGGGGGGUGGCAUUGAUACUGAUGGGCUUGAGUACAGAUGAGGUAGGCGGAAUUGACGGUGUAGCGGUGAAAUGCAUAGAUAUCGUCAAGAACACCUAUAGCGAAGGCAGCUUACUAAGCUGUAACUGACGCUGAGGCACGAAAGUGUGGGGAUCAAACAGG